rnacentral:rRNA from 1 species
GUAGCGGCGAGCGAAGAGGGAAGAGCUCAAACUCUAAAUCUAGAUGUCACUAUUGAUAUCUCGAAUUGUGGUCUCGUGAUUUAACAUUACUGGAGUUCACUCUAAGGUAUAAAUCUCCUGGAACGGAGUGCCGCAGAAGGUGAGAGCCCUGUGCAGUAACUUUAGAGCUAAAGGAUUUCGAUCGUCAUUGUUAAGUCUCAGAGUCGAGCUGCCUGGGAAUGCAGCUCUAAUCGGGUGGUAGACCUCACCCAAAGCUAAAUAAGGGCAGGAGACCGAUAGCGAACAAGUACCGUGAGGGAAAGAUGAAAAGGACUUUGAAAAGAGAGUCAAAAGUGCUUGAAAUCGUUGGGGGGGAAGCGCUCGAGGCCGGGAGGUUAUCUCUUGUUGGCUGUUCAAUGUGUUUUAUGAGGCGUCUUGGUAUUAGAAGAGUGCUGUUAAAGGUGCCUUCUGGUAUUGAUGCAACUUUUCAAUAAACUGUGCAAUCAGCCCUGGAGAUGAGCCGGCGUCAACUAGUCUAGAAGAAGGGGGGUAGAUAUGGUGGCUUAUUGAGAGGGCAACUUUUCUUUAAACUCGAUUUAUUCAGCAACUUCUGGACUGGUUGAGGAAACCGUUCAAGAACACACGCUUCGAACCAGCAAUGGUUUGUGGGCAGGAUAGGCCAUUCCGACUUAGCUUUGCAUGAGGGGGCCGGCAACCGGCGCUUUUGAGGUACGGCUAGGUCUAGGGUGUGUCACAAUCCUAG